CCAGAUCCCUGAGGUAUCACCUAAGGAAAGCUGCCAAAAACAGCUCCCUGGCCAAAGAACACCUGGCCACCUUAGACUGGUGUUCUGGAUAUCUUGGAAAAGGUAUAUGGAAGGCAACAGAAAUCCUUACGAUUGCAAAAUAAAACCUGAGGGGAUAGGAACCAAGAACUUUUCAAUGAAGAAGACAAGAAUUGUGGACAAUUCAUACUUUAGGUCUGUUAUUGGAGCCCACCAGCAUGCCAGGAGUAGCUGGGAGUAUUCAAUGGAGCCCCUUCUGAGACUCUGCCAGAACACAAAGCCUCUCUCUUCUUACAUUUCAA